AUGCUGACGAGUGGCGGACGGCUGAGUAACGCGUGGGAACGUGCCCCAAAGUGAGGGAUAACGCACCGAAAGGUGUGCUAAUACCGCAUAUGGUCUUCGGAUUAAAGAAUUUAUUCGCUUUGGGAGCGGCCCGCGUCGGAUUAGGUUGUUGGUGAGGUAAUGGCUCACCAAGCCGACGAUCCGUAGCUGGUCUGAGAGGAUGACCAGCCAGACUGGAACUGAGACAC
rnacentral:rRNA from 1 species